UACGUAGGGUGCAAGCGUUAAUCGGAAUUACUGGGCGUAAAGCGUGCGCAGGCGGUUUUGUAAAUCUGUCGUGAAAGCCCCGGGCUCAACCUGGGAAUUGCGAUGGAGACUGCAAGGCUUGAAUCUGGCAGAGGGGGGGGUAGAAUUCCACGUGUAGCAGUGAAAUGCGUAGAGAUGUGGAGGAACACCGAUGGCGAAGGCAGCCCCCCCUGGGUCAAGAUUGACGCUCAUGCACGAAAGCGUGGGGAGCAAACAGG
rnacentral:rRNA from 1 species